rnacentral:precursor_RNA from 16 species
ACUCUGAGAGAGAGAACACCUGUUGCUAGGGUGCAUUGUAGUUGCAUUGCAUGUGCAACACAGAAGUGCAAUGUAACUGCAGUGCAGCCCAGAGGCAGGAACAGACCACUAUGUACUUA